CUGGCUCAGGAUGAACGCUGGCGGCGUGCUUAACACAUGCAAGUCGAGCGAAGCACUUUUAAGGAAGUUUUCGGAUGGAAUUAAAAGUGACUGAGCGGCGGACGGGUGAGUAACGCGUGGGUAACCUGCCUCAUACAGGGGGAUAACAGUUGGAAACGACUGCUAAUACCGCAUAAGCGCACAGUGCUGCAUGGCACAGUGUGAAAAACUCCGGUGGUAUGAGAUGGACCCGCGUCUGAUUAGGUAGUUGGUGAGGUAACGGCCCACCAAGCCGACGAUCAGUAGCCGACCUGAGAGGGUGACCGGCCACAUUGGGACUGAGACACGGCCCAAACUCUUACGGGAGGCAGCAAUGGGGAAUAUUGGACAACGGGGGAAACCCUGAUCCAGUGACGCCGCGUGAGUGAAGAAGUAUUUCGGUAUGUAAAGCUCUAUCAGCAGGGAAGAAAAUGACGGUACCUGCCUAAGAAGCCCCGGCUAAUUACGUGCCACCAGCCGCGGUAAUACGUAGGGGCCAAGCGUUAUCCGGAUUUACUGGGUGUAAAGGGAGCCUAGCCGGCGAUGCAAGUCGGGAGUGAAAGCCCGGGGCUCAACCCCGGGACUCCUUUGGAAACUGUGUUGCUGGAGUCCAGGAGAGGUAAGUGGAAUUCCUAGUGUAGCGGUGAAAUGCGUAGAUAUUAGGAGGACCACCAGUGGCGAAGGCGGCUUACUGGACUGUAACUGACGUUGAGGCUGGAAAGCGUGGGGAGCAACCAGGAUUAGAUCCCCUGGUAGUCCACCCCGUAAACGAUGAAUACUAGGUGUUGGGGAGCUAAAGCUCUUCAGUGCCGCAGCUAACGCAAUAAGUAUUCCCCCUGGGAGCUCCAUGCC
rnacentral:rRNA from 1 species